GUCGGGGUAGUGUAGUGGUUAUCACAUUGGUUUCACAGAUCGAUCAAUAUGACUGUGUACUCACCAAAGGUCCAGAGUUCAAACCUCUGUCUCGACA